rnacentral:tRNA from 2 species
GGCCCCGUGGUCAAGAGGUCAAGACACCGCCCUUUCACGGCGAUAACAGGGGUUCGAUUCCCCUCGGGGUCACCA